UACGUAGGGUGCAAGCGUUAAUCGGAAUUACUGGGCGUAAAGCGUGCGCAGGCGGCUUUGCAAGACAGAUGUGAAAUCCCCGGGCUUAACCUGGGAACUGCAUUUGUGACUGCAUGGCUGGAGUGCGGCAGAGGGGGGAUGGAAUUCCGCGUGUAGCAGUGAAAUGCGUAGAUAUGCGGAGGAACACCGAUGGCGAAGGCAGGUCCUCGUCGGGCCGAUA
rnacentral:rRNA from 1 species